UACGAAGGGGGCUAGCGUUACUCGGAUUGACUGGGCGUAAAGGGCACGUAGGCGGUGAAUCGGGUUGAAAGUGAAAGUCGCCAAAAAGUGGCGGAAUGCUCUCGAAACCAAUUCACUUGAGUGAGACAGAGGAGAGUGGAAUUUCGUGUGUAGGGGUGAAAUGCGUAGAUAUCGGAAGGAACACCUGUGGCGAAAGCGGCUCACUGGACCAUUACUGACGCUGAGGCACGAAAGCUAGGGGAGCAAACAGG
rnacentral:rRNA from 1 species